GAUUAAACCAGGAGGAAAACAGGUAGGGGUAGUAGCAAAUAUAUAUAUACAUAAA
rnacentral:sRNA from 1 species